UGUCUCCUAAAUAGGGACCUGUAUGAAUGGCUAAAUGAAUAUUAAACUGUCUCUUUUAACCAAUCAGUGAAACUGAUCUUCCAGUACAAAAGCUGGAAUAAUAAUAUAAGACGAGAAGACCCUGUGGAGCUUUAAAUUUUAACCAAAAUAUAAUUGCUACAAUUAUUUAUGCUUAACACUUUAAGUUGGGGCGACUUCGGAUAAAAAUAAAACAUCCGAGUGAAAGAGGCACUGCCUAAAAAAGGCUUACAAGCCAGAACUAACACUGACCCAGUACCACUGAUCAGCGAACCAAGUUACCCCAGGGAUAACAGCGCCAUCUUCUUCAAGAGUUCAUAUCGACAAGAAGGUUUACGACCUCGAUGUUGGAUCAGGACACCCAAAUGGUGCAGCCGCUAUUAAAGGUUCGUUUGUUCAACGAUUAACAGU
rnacentral:rRNA from 1 species